rnacentral:lncRNA from 1 species
GGCAAGAUCCAGAUGUACUCGCCAGAGUUCUAUGCCGCCUGUACCGCUGGUGGAAUCCUGAGCUGUGGACUUACUCACAUGGCCGUUACUCCUCUUGACCUUGUCAAAUGUAAUAUGCAGGUAUGAACUCGGUUUCAUUUAGUUAAUUUUUUUUCGAUUUUAAUCUGCUUCAAUGCCGUCGAUUUAAUUGUUGAUUUCGUUUAUCAGUUGUUUCAUUGUUGGUUGUAUUGAUAUGUUGAUAUCUUCGUGAAAUAAGUGACUAGAUCUAUUCCUAGUUGUUGGUUAUUGUGCUCCUUCGGAUGUCGGUUAUGUUCUGGACUCGAUCUGCUCUACUGUUUUAUAACUGUUCUAUUUUUUAAUGUUUUUUGUUUCACAUUUUUUUAUGGUUCAGGUUCAAGUUUUUUUUAAAAUUUUUAUAUUGAGUUCGUUCCAAACUUAUAAGAGGAAAAUUACAAUUGACUUCUGUAAGUAUAAAUAUACUAGAGUGCCUCAUUUCUCAAGAGCAGAAGCUAUCUUCUUAAUUUUUACAUUUUUACUAAGUUGCUCUUAUACUUUGUAACUGAGGAGUACUGCUAUAUGUUGUUAGGUUUAUUGCUUUUACAUAAUAAGUUUUAGCCAAUUUUAUGAUUAGGAUGUUACAGAAGUACUUCAAAAUAUUUUGAUUUUGAACUAGACUACAAUAUUUCCCUUGCAUUAUAAUGGAAUCCUUUCCUUUGAAAUUCAGAAUUGGCUGGUUUAAUAUUUGAAAUACUUCCAACUCCAAUUCUAUCUGAGGGGUUAAUUCCAUGAUCCCAAAUGCAGCCUUACUCUUUUUUUUCCUUCUUUGGGUUCUGUUGGUGUUUUUUCCCUUUUAAGUUUGGACCAACUAUCAAGCUUUAGUGUUGUUACUUAGUCAUGUAUGUUAUUUGUUCAUCUUGUUACUCUUUUAUGUGCUGAAUACUUUAUGAAUUAUAACCUAUCUAGUAUACGUGAUUAUCUGGUUUCUACUAGGCCAUACCAAGGUGGGGUAUUUUUUAUUUUGGACCUCAAGUACAUGAUGCCUAUUAUGACAUUCUGUAAACAACAUUAUGGUAAAUCAAUGGUAUCUUGUUUUGUAUUUUAUUGAGGUUUAUAUGCGACUUUUGGCUACUACUUUUCCUUUUAUGGAGCAUGUAAAUUAAUAUUAGCAUGUUUGUCGAACUAGAUUGACCCUGCAAAGUACAAGAGCAUCACAUCUGGUUUUGGAGUAUUGCUCAAGGAGCAGGGAGUCGGGGGAUUUUUCAGGGGAUGGGUACCUACCCUUCUUGGUU